CGAACGGCAGCACAGAGGAACUUGCUCCUUGGGUGGCGAGUGGCGGACGGGUGAGGAAUACAUCGGAAUCUACUCUGUCGUGGGGGAUAACGUAGGGAAACUUACGCUAAUACCGCAUACGACCUACGGGUGAAAGCAGGGGAUCUUCGGACCUUGCGCGAUUGAAUGAGCCGAUGUCGGAUUAGCUAGUUGGCGGGGUAAAGGCCCACCAAGGCGACAAUCCGUAGCUGGUCUGAGAGGAUGAUCAGCCACACUGGAACUGAGACACGGUCCAGACUCCUACGGGAGGCA
rnacentral:rRNA from 1 species